rnacentral:rRNA from 1 species
UACGGGGGGGGGCAAGCGUUGUUCGGAAUUACUGGGCGUAAAGGGCUCGUAGGCGGUCCGUCACGUCGGGAGUGAAAACUCAGGGCUCAACCCUGAGCGUGCUUCCGAUACGGGCGGACUAGAGGUAUGCAGGGGAGAACGGAAUUCCUGGUGUAGCGGUGGAAUGCGCAGAUAUCAGGAGGAACACCGGUGGCGAAGGCGGUUCUCUGGGCAUUACCUGACGCUGAGGAGCGAAAGCAUGGGGAGCGAACAGG